CCUAACAUGAUCAUCUCACUAUAAAAUAGCUAUAAUUCCUGGAGGACAUUUAUCAGUUCUAGAAAGUUCUGUUCUAAUACUGUAUACUGCAAGGUUUUUCUCCAGAAUUUAUGUAUAGAAGGGUCUUUUGCUUGAACAACUGGCCACAAGAAAAUAUAUGUGUAAAAAGGUGGAAUGGAAUGACAAGGAGUUUCUGUUGUUUUUGUGUUUUCAUACCAGGCAAAACAUUUGGGAAAAGUCCAUAUGACAUUUCUUGGGAAGCUAUGAUUCUAUAUAUCUUCUUUUAUAAUACUUAUGUCUUAACACUUCUCUCAUUGUAAAGAGAAAAUUAUGUGAACAGUUGAGAUGUUGGGUGUCUGUCAGUUUGGGCAUCUGUAACAAAUUAUCAUUGACUGAGUGGCUUAAAACACAUAUAUGUCUCACAGGUUGGGGAGCCUUAGAUCAAAGCACUACCAUGUCUGGUAUCUCUCCUGGCUUACAGAUGGCCAUGUAUUCUCAUAUGGGAGAGAGAGACCGAGAGAGGAAGAGAGAGGACAAAAGACUGUGCAAGCUCAUCUGUCUCUUAUGAGGACACUAAUCCAAUUCAUGAGAGCUCCACUAAUUGCCAUGACCUAACUGCCUCGCAAAGGUUCUACCUCCUAAUACCAUCACAUUGGAGGUUAGGGUUGCAAUAUAUGGAUUUGAAGGGUGGGAGCCCAAAUAUUCAGUCUACCACAGAUGGUAACCAAAUAAAAAAUGUUCAUUAUUACUACAAGCUACAAGAUUUUUCUACAACUAUCAAAAAAUUUGUUCCAAAACUACUGUGACAAUUUCUUCAUCUAAUCAUAGGGUAAAGGAGCUGAAGAAAAAAAAAGCUGUUCUUUGGCUGAAGAUAGAAACAGAAAAGAAAAGAAAAAAAGAAGAAAAAGAAAGAAAAGAAAAAAGAAAAAAGAAAAGAAAAAGAAAAAAAAGAAAAGAAAAGAAAAAAAGAAAAGAAAAGAAAAAAAGAAAGAAAGAAAAGAAAAGAAAAGAAGAGAAAAGAAAAGAAAAGAAGAAAAGAGUAUUCUCCAGUGAAGAAAGCAUUAAUUGCCCUGCAAAGGAAGAGAUACAGGAGCUAAUGCCUCACUCCAUAAAUGGUCGGUCUUUCUACAAAAGGAUUUUUCACAUGGUUUACUAACAUCGUAGCUUCCACUAUUGGUAAGUACAUUUGACUCUUGGUUAAUUCAAAUGUUGGGUAUAUUGGGAGUGCAUGAAGGGGGCAAAGAGGUGGAAGAAUGGA
rnacentral:lncRNA from 1 species